CUUAUUCAUAACUAUUUGUUGACCGUGUUGUGGACAUUCAUGACUCUUAGUUAGCUUCUCAUAUAUUACCUUCCCUACUUGGUGGUAAUAUAACUAUUGAAAUUCAACUAAUGUGCCUCUGUAGAGAGUUGCUGACCUGUUCUCAUAAUAUACUUUUGUAGUUUAUUAUAACAAGAUUAAGGCUUUGCAACUUAUGCCCUGAGCAUGGCAGGGAGUCAGACCAGGAUUUUGGCCUGCAGACUGAGAUUUUAAUAGAUGCGGGGAACAACCCUAUUUUGACAAACAGUUGGUAUACGCCAUUUUGUUGUAAAAUUAUGGUAGGUUGCCUGUUUUCUAAAAUGCAGUUAUGCUUCAAUUAUGUUGAGACUUUUGGAAAGGCAUUUUGGUUCAUCGAAGGAGUCCAUAUCCAAUGGUUUUCCUGCAUGGAAACCAUUUCAAAUGUGAUGCUUUCUUAUGUAAUUGUUUUAAAUUGGUUAAUUAUCCAUUAUCGAUACGAUGCCUUAUGUAUAUGUUUCAAAUAAGUUAAUUACAGUGAAAGGAAAUACUGCUUGCUUUGAUAAAA